rnacentral:tRNA from 1 species
GGAGAAGUACUCAAGCGGUGAAGAGGCUCCCCUGCUAAGGGAGUAGGCUGGGAGACUGGCGCGAGGGUUCGAUUCCCUCCUUCUCCGCCA